AUAUAUACAUAGAUUCUCCAUUUUCCGUUUAAAGAGAAAGAGAAUACUUAAUUGACAUCAGUAUUUGGUAAAUAGAGUUAUUAUGAAUUUUAGGCAGUAAAAUUUCUAUAUAUUUUCACUGAUGAUAAUCUUGUUAAAGCUUUUUUUCUUCAUUGUUUUCAACAUGGCUUUUUUUCUAAUGUAUUUCCUUUAUUAAAAACCUAUUUUGAAAUGUUUUAUUUGAAGGGAUUUUGUAAUUUUCAUGGUAAAGCUUGCAGAUUCAUCAUCUCAUUUUUGUGAUCGACGAUUAGUACUAGCUAGUGCUAAAUAUCAUCAUUGAAGGUUACUGUAUAAUAUAAUGGGUCUUCAAAGAAUAUUCUGUACGUAUAAUUUAAGAUUAUUCAAUAUUUCUUGGUUUUGCGACUCAGUUAUUGGCCCCAAAAUCAUUUGAAUUUGUUCUUCCUUUUCCUUCCCUUCUCUCAAACAUAACGUAUAUAUUGAUAUGUGUGAAUCAUUAUACGUAUAUCUUAAAGGAUAAUGAUGCCGAAAGUGGCUCGAAACUUCUGGUUAGAGAUGAAGAAGGCCACCAUGUGCAGCAAGGAAUAAUAUCGAAGAAGAAGAAGAUAAAAUUUCGUUCCAUCAUUGACCUCUACAAGUGUACUGAUAGGCUCUCACCGGUUGAAGAUGAAUAUAAUUGGAGUUCCCCAGCGGGAAAAAUUCCGAAUACUGAUAUCAGUCAAAGAACUAACAAAAAGAAUGCAAAAAUAUUAAAAUAUUAUCCAGAGGUGAAUUCAGAUGGAGAAAUGAUGGACAAAAAUGGCUGCGUGAAUAAACGAAAGUUUCGACCAAUUGCUGAUAUUUAUGAGUCAACAAAGCCUGUUGGCCGUAACAAGAACAAGCAUUAACUAGAUUGUCAUAUACACUUACUUAGCAGUAAGCAGCCUCUCGCAGAAAUGCAAGGUAAGACUAUAUACAAUACACUCUUGUGGUAGGAACCUUUCCAGGAUACCGUGCAUAGUGAUAGCUUUAAUGCACCGGACUGCCCUUUACUAAGCAGAACCACUAUUUUUCUAGGUGAAUGAAUGUUAAAGGUAUUAAUUAAUGUUAUUAUGGAUUGAAUUUGACAAGUUUUUGGUAUAAGUUUCUUCAAGAAUUGCAUGCGUUUUGAAAUUUAAAACUUCCCAUAUUACUUAAUAUUGACAUGCACAUGCAUUUAUCAGAAUGUUAUAGUUGAUAAUGAUAUAUCUUGUAAGCUUUCAUCAAAUAACUGUAAACUUAAAGAUUGCAUGCAAAAGGGAAAGGGUGAUACUGUGUCCUUUCCUAUUCUGUAAGUUUGACGGUAAGUAAAUAGUCUCUCUUUACUUUCACAUUUUUAUAUCUCAAAGUCUUUUAUUAACUUUAGCCAUUAUUUGAUAUUCUGUGAUGUUACAGUGAGGUAUAUGAAGUAUACUUUUAUCUUACCCAAUUAUCUUAAUAUUCACUUCCCUUAAUUAUUUCCAGAAAUUCCAUUGAAAGAAGUGUUAUAUUAAUGAUGGUGCCUCCAUCCUCCAAUGCAUUUUAUUUUUAUCUCACAGGCGGAGCCAUUUUAGGAAAAGGGUGAUCGGAUACAAAUCCAUCACCAGAAAAUUGGUGACAUAGAAAUUAAAUGGCAGUAGCAGUUAUGAGCGUAUAAUUAAUUUUACAUACAAAAAUUAAAUGACAAUAACAGUUACACUCUUACCAUAAUUAAAAAGAAAUUAAAAUAUAUACAUAUUUUGCUAUAUUGCUGGCUCUACCAGUGCUGCUUCACCUCAUUCCAUAGCCUCCUUCCCCACCACCCCUACCCCAUUGUCAACUUCCACACUAUAUACAUGUUAUAAUAAUAUCGUUUAAUUACUAUCCAAUGAGAGAGAAUACGUAAAAGUAAAAAAAGAAAAAAAAAUCACUUAUUUCCUUGGAAUUUAUCCAAUUUAUUCAAUGUGCUGUGACCUUUAGAGUGAUGUUGGAUUAGACUAUUUACGCGUGUACUGAUCAGAAAUUCAUCCCAAAUAAUUAAGAGUACUAUUGAAUUAGCCAUUAAAUAACUUUAGGAGCACUUCACAACUUCAUCCUCAGGUAAUUCAUCUUCUAUUUCUACUUUUACUAUUUUACUUACUUUGUUUUCUUUAUUGUCAACAGAAGUAAUCAUGUGCUUUUAUAAUUCUGGUUCUGUAGAAUUUCGAAAUCAAAAUUGUAUUUUUAUUUUAUGGGUAUAAUCAAAUCAGCUGAAAUUGAAUUGGUACUCCCGCCGUUUCAAUUUAUUCGUUAAACUUUUUAGUUCAUUUUAAUAAGAAUACAUCUUUUUUAUUUUGACUAUUCUUUGAUUCUAAUUUAGGCGUGGCCAACAAAUGGA